CCGGGUAUUGUACUGAGAAUUGAGUUCGAGAGAGAUUGUGAAUAAAAGUGUUUAUUAUAGUAAUUUUAAUGGUUGAGGCAUUAUCUGUGUUGUAUAUAUUGUUGUAAAUAGUUGAGCUUAGAUUUUGUAUUAUUGUUAUUCAUUGUUGUUACUAGCAUUUUGUCAUUCAAAGACCAAUCAAAGUCUAGAUAAAUACUUGAGCUAGCUAGCUCAACCUUAAUGUUAGCCUAUUAGCUAACGAAUUCGACUGCAUUCAUUUCAUUUGGAUUUUAGAAUGGGAAGAAAAUGACAUCUGCGAGUGCGAGUGAAGGGCAACUGGAAAGAGCUGGAUCCCAGAGGGGCUUCACUGAGGAAAAGGAGACGCCCCCAGAGGUUGAGGCGGAGAGUCCAUCCGCCGACUCAUCAGGAGCAUGCCCGGACAUUGUCGGGAGUGUGUACAGACAAAUCUUCCAGUUCCUGUGCCCUGCCAGUUCCUACACCCUGCCAUUUCCUGGUCUGUUCCUCCCUGCUUCUCCAUCCAGUCCUGAUCCAGUGUUUUUAUAUUUGCACGUCACAGGCAUGUACACAGAUAGGCCCCAAGUGGGGCCUCAGAGUCAAAAAGUGCUGAUGUUAAUUGUAUUUUAUUUUUUAUUUAUUUGUUAUUGAAAUUCUAUCACAUAAAGAUGGAAAUGUAUCCACAAAAAAACACACCUUAUCAAUUUA